GGGUUAAUAGCUUAAUUGGUAAAGGGCUUCAUUGUCAUUGAAGUAGAUGUCGGAUCGAAGCCGGCUUAACCCG
rnacentral:tRNA from 1 species